UAUGUACUUCCUCUGUUUCAAAAUUAUUGUCUUGGAUUUGUGUAGAUACAAAUGUAUCUAGUUAUGUUUUAGUAUUUAGAUAUAUAUUUAUUUUUAUACAAAACUAAGAUAAGAAUUUUGGGACGGAGGGAGUAUGAA
rfam:Hordeum vulgare subsp. vulgare, WGS project CAJW01000000 data, contig: morex_contig_116945